UCAAACCUGUUCAUUGGUGUCUCUGGAGA
rnacentral:piRNA from 2 species